AUGACUAGGGAUAACCUUAGGAAGAGACACAUCAUCAAACCCCUUGAUUGUGUUUACUGCUUGGAACAAGAGUCUUGUUCUCACCUAUUUUUUGAAUGUAUAGUUGCUAAACAUCUCUGGGCCCACAUUGAGGAAUAUUUCUCUAGUCAGAUUGGCUCAUCCUUCGAAUCUUUCGCCAGAUUCUGGAUUGCUACCAAAAAGUGCUCAGUUUUAAACACUAUUAGCUCAGCUGUCCUUUGGUGCCUCUGGAAAUAUAGAAAUGCUAUGAUUUUUAGUAACACCUCCUGGAUUUCCAUUCCGCAGGUCUUGAGGUUGAUCGGGAACAUGGUGAGGAACUGGGCGAUUCUCUCCUCCGGAUCGGACAAGGACAAGUUGAUGAGCUUCGUGGAAACCCUAACAAGAUCCCUCCAGAAACCGUUGGCGAUCACUUGUGGCUGA
rnacentral:rRNA from 1 species